UAGGGUUAUACAUCUAAACUGGUAUUUUAUGGCGCCAAGUAAUUUUGACACAAUUGUAGGCAAUGUGGGAAUGGAAUUAAUAUCCCUACGCAGAGUUCGUGAUAUCUCCUAGUCGGGUACAUCGGUCAAGGAUCACAGUUUUUUAAUUGUCAUUAAGGAGUUUGUUGAAUAGUAGGCUCCAAAACCAAACGAAAACAAUGUCAGUAAAGUAAUAAAUAUAUGUAUGCAAAAAGUACAGACACAGAAAGAAAUAUGGUUUACAAUAUAAACUAAAGUGAGGCUAAUUAGAUAAAUAUGGCUGUCAAUUGCCAGAGUAAAGAGCAGUCCUGGAAGCAGAUCUGGUUCUGCACAAAUUUUUGUAUUUAAGUUCAUGUGGAAUCAUGAAAUCAUGGAAUCAUGGAAUCAUAGAUCACAAGAGUUCGAAGUAAGCACAGAAUAAGAAAAGAAAUCUUUGUUUUUCGAUAUCCAGCUCUGUGGGAACACACAAUUAAACGAAAUCGAACGAUGUGAACAUUGCAAUCUGCCACUGACAUUACGAUAACAUCUAAGAUGGGCCCAUUUCAGGAAAUAUGUUUGAAAAUAGGGGAAAGUCAAAAUUUCAAUAUUACAACAUGUAAUUAUUACUAGAUGUAAAACAAAACUUAUAAACAUAAAGAGAAACUGAUAAA